AUUGAACGCUGGCGGCAGGCCUAACACAUGCAAGUCGAACGGUAACAGGAAACAGCUUGCUGUUUCGCUGACGAAUGGCGGACGGGUGAGUAAUGUCUGGGAAACUGCCUGAUGGAGGGGGAUAACUACUGGAAACGGUAGCUAAUACCGCAUAACGUCGCAAGACCAAAGAGGGGGACCCUCGGGCCUCUUGCCAUCGGAUGUGCCCAGAUGGGAUUAGCUUGUUGGUGGGGUAACGGCUCACCAAGGCGACGAUCCCUAGCUGGUCUGAGAGGAUGACCAGCCACACUGGAACUGAGACACGGUCCAGACUCCUACGGGAGGCAGCAGUGGGGAAUAUUGCACAAUGGGCGCAAGCCUGAUGCAGCCAUGCCGCGUGUAUGAAGAAGGCCUUCGGGUUGUAAAGUACUUUCAGCGGGGAGGAAGGGAGUAAAGUUAAUACCUUUGCUCAUUGACGUUACCCGCAGAAGAAGCACCGGCUAACUCCGUG
rnacentral:rRNA from 1 species